GACGAACGCUGGUGGCGUGCUUAACACAUGCAAGUCGAACGGAAAGGCCCUGCUUGCAGGGUACUCGAGUGGCGAACGGGUGAGUAACACGUGGGUGAUCUGCCCUGCACUUCGGGAUAAGCCUGGGAAACUGGGUCUAAUACCGGAUAGGAGCCAUUUUUAGUGUGAUGGUUGGAAAGUUUUUUCGGUGUAGGAUGAGCUCGCGGCCUAUCAGCUUGUUGGUGGGGUAAUGGCCUACCAAGGCGGCGACGGGUAGCCGGCCUGAGAGGGUGGACGGCCACAUUGGGACUGAGAUACGGCCCAGACUCCUACGGGAGGCAGCAGUGGGGAAUAUUGCACAAUGGGCGCAAGCCUGAUGCAGCGACGCCGCGUGGGGGAUGACGGCCUUCGGGUUGUAAACUCCUUUCGCUAGGGACGAAGCUUUUUGUGACGGUACCUAGAUAAGAAGCACCGGCUAACUACGUG
rnacentral:rRNA from 1 species